CCUACGGGAGGCAGCAGUGAGGAAUAUUGGUCAAUGGACGAGAGUCUGAACCAGCCAAGUAGCGUGAAGGAUGACUGCCCUAUGGGUUGUAAACUUCUUUUAUAUGGGAAUAAAAUGUUCCACGUGUGGGUUUUUGUAUGUACCAUAUGAAUAAGGAUCGGCUAACUCCGUGCCAGCAGCCGCGGUAAUACGGAGGAUCCGAGCGUUAUCCGGAUUUAUUGGGUUUAAAGGGAGCGUAGGUGGAUUGUUAAGUCAGUUGUGAAAGGUUGCGGCUCAACCGUAAGAUUGCAGUUGAAACUGGCAGUCUUGAGUACAGGAGAGGUAUGCGGAAUGCGUGGUGUAGCGGUGAAAUGCAUAGAUAUCGCGAAGAACUCCGAUUGCGAAGGCAGUUCACUGGACUGCAACUGACACUGAGGCUCGAAAGUGUGGGUAUCAAACAGGAUUAGAUACCCUUGUAGUC
rnacentral:rRNA from 1 species